rnacentral:rRNA from 1 species
GCAAGUCGAACGAGAACGGGUUUAGUUUACUAAACUGUCAGCUAAGUGGCGCACGGGUGAGUAAUAUAUAGUUAACCUGCCCCAAAGAAGAGAAUAAUUGUUGGAAACGACUUGUAAUGCUCUAUAUGCCUUUAUUACACAAGUAAGCAAGGGAAACAUUUAUGGCUUUGGGAUGAGACUGUACGGUAUCAGCUAGUUGGUGAGGUAAUGGCUUACCAAGGCUAUGACAUCUAACUGGUUUGAGAGGAUGAUC